CACAAUGCGGGGGAGUGGUGCCGGCUUGAACUCUAGCUUCCUGAUGUCUGGUGCUGCCUUUGUGUCUUAUCCUGCUUCCCAGCAAGCUCAGGCACCAUUGACCCACCCUCAUUGCAUGGAUGGGGAAACUGAGAACCAGAGAAGGAAUAUGGCAAAUUAGAAAAAAAAAAAACAUCCAAAAGCAAUAAUUCAGGGCAACAUGGCCACACGGGUCCAAGCCCAAAGAGCCCAGGAGGAAGCAGAGCUAUAGAAGGAGCACCCCGACCAUCACUCCUAUCCUCGGGAAGCUGUCAGGUCGCCACUGGUUGUGUCAGUUUCCUUGAGCAACACAAGCUUUUAGCCUCCAGAGAUUGCACAUAGAUGCACAGAGCUCCCCGGGGUGGGGAGGAAGCGUACUGAGGAAUGUGCAGGUGUACUCCCUGCUGGAUUAUGAAAACGGCUUCCUCAUGGUUCUCCCCACUUCCAGACUGGGCCCCCAAUCUAUCCUCCUGUCCAGCCUGCACAACGAACUCCCUGUUGCUCUCAGUUCAGGUCUUCUCGUGCCCUCUUUUGCCCUAGCCUGGUUGAUCCAUCACAGACCCCUCCUUGUCCUGGCUCCCUUAUCUCCUGUCCUUUGCCCAAUCUGAUCCCUCCCCCUAAAGCCCCUGUCCCCUCCUCCCACACUCUUUUGGCUUGGAGCACACACCCUUGGGGGAGGUUUUAAUACAGGUGCCCCCACUUGGGCUCCACUCCUGAGAAAGGAAUUCUGACCUCCCUAGGAACCAGCAGAUACAGAAGCAAAAACUUUAGGGAUGGCUUUGGAGGCGUGUGAAAGGAUGGAGAAGGCAGGGCUGUUCCAGAAACCUUCCACAUAAAAGACUCUCCCAUGGCUGCAAAGCCACCAGGCAGUUUGUUUCUGAGCCUUGCAGCUGUCUUGGCCAUUUUCAUUUUUAUCUACUUAGGUUGGUCAGCGGGUCAUGGCAAGCAGGAGACACAAUGCUAAUGACUCCGGCUCCACGUGGCGACCAUUCAGGAAAAAGCUGCAAUGUUCUCUCUGCCACAUUAAUCAGAGAAACACAUCAAGAGUUGUUGCGUGGAGACAGCUUUCCUCCCAGUACUCGCCCUGCAUACUAAUCACCACCCCCUCCUGAGAUGCGGUUUCACUCUGUUGCCCAGGCUAGAGUGCACUAAUACAAUCAUAGCUUACUGCACCCUCAACCUCCUGGGCUCAAGCAAUCCUCCUGCCUCAGCCUCAUGAGUAGCUGGGACUACAGGUGAGCACCACCACACCUGGCUAUCCUCAUUUUUUGUUUUUAACCUCUACCUAAUAUUCCAUGCGUGCCUGUAACACAGUUGAUUCAACCACGCCCCUCUCACUCCCCCUCACUCAGGGUCCCAGCUCUAGAGGACAUGGGUCAAAAGGUUUUCAUGGUAAAUGGUGCCUCUGCACAAUUCCAGGGGAUGCCAUCCACACCCAGAAUGCAGCAGCCCUGCCUGAUGAAGAGAUAAGGUGGCUCCAGUUUUUACCAUACAAACAAUUCUGCACCGAGCAUGCUCACCCAUGUCUCUUUGUGCACAUGUGUGAGUGGUUCUCCAGGCAUUGAUGAUUCAGGGUGGAGCUGGAGGGCAGAAGUGCAUGCUUCCGACAUUUCAGGGACCUUGCCAUGGUGUGGGAGGGCAGCCUGGGGUUCCUAAGCCCCUUCAGCCUCUGCUGAACCAGGUUGCCUAGCAUACAUCCAUCAUGUGGCUGCCGGCUGGGCCGCUGCUUCCAGGAAAUCAAUUGCAAAAACCUGCGAUUGUCAGUGGCUCACACACUGGAGGCCAUCCAGGGAGUAGAUUAAAUUGUAUGAAAAAAUAGUACAGGGCUCAAGACCGCUCGUAAUGGAGACCCCUCGGUGACCUUUCUGCAGAAGUUAAAAGAACACAGGCAGACAUACUCUCACCCUUGCUCACCAACGUGCUAGCCCGCCUGCCAGGAGCAUAGCCCCUCUGCCCUUGGAGGAGCCGCGCCUCAUUAGCAGGAAGUGGGAGGCCUGGUCCAGGGCCCAGUCUGCCUGUGCAUGGCAAGAAGGCCAGCAGGGGCACCUGCUUCCCUGCAGGGUGGACCCAAGUUGACCAUCAGGCCUUAGAUGCUUAAGGUCACUGAGCCCCCCUUCUCCAUGCCAGCCCUCUUCUGCUUCCCAUGCAGGCACCACUGUGGACCCCUGCUCUGCACCCCCAGGAGGAGUGGGACUGCUUCAAGGGCAGCCUGGAGGAAAGAGGUGUGGUGUGAACACAUACAACAUGUUCCUUAACCAGGAAGGCGACUGGAGUCUUUACCUGGUUUCAAAGCAGCCAAGCCUAGAGGCCCCCACCCCUUGUUCUUUAUUAUGAUUGCCCUUUGACCCCAACCCCCCAAUUCUUUCCUCUCCAGAUCCCCAGCCAUGCAUACUCCAACUUGGUUCUGCAAAGAAUACCCAGCCACAGCUGUGAACUUGGGGAAACACAUUUUUUCUUUUUCUUUUCUUUUCUUUUUUUUUUUUUUUUGAGAGGGAGUCUCACUCUGUUGCCCAGGCUGAGGUACAGUGGCGUGAUCUUGACUCACUGCAACCUCCACCUCCCAGGUUCAAGCAAUUCUUCUGCCUAAGCCUCCUGAGUAGCUAGGACUACAGGCAUGUGCCACCACCCCCAGCUAAUUUUUGUAUUUUUAGUAGAGAUGGGGUUUCACCAUGCUGGCCAGGCUGGGCUUGAACUCCUGGCCUCAAGCAGUCCUCUCACCUUGCCUCCCAAGGUGCUAGGAUUAUAGGCUUGAGCCACCAUGCAUGUGCACGGCCAGCACAUUCAUUUUCUAUACAUAACUGUCUCCCAGCUCUUCAGGCCAACUUACCUGAUAAUGAUAAAAAUAACUAAGCUGCCAUGGAUUGGGCAGUGUGCCAAGUGCUCCAUGUAUAUUACCUUACUUAGUUUUCACAAACUCUAUGAGGUAGGUACCACUAUUAUUUACAGGUGAGGAAAUGGAGGCUCAGAGAGGUUAAGUGAAUUGAUCCAGGCCACACAGCUGGUAAGCGCCAGAGCCACUAGUGGACGCCAGGUCCAGCCAGCCCCCAGAGCCCAUGUGCUGAGCCACUGUGCUAUACUGACUCCCACUUAAUUCUCUCUUCUGGGUUGUCCCAAAGACCAAGUUCGGCUGGCCAAUUUUCCAGGACCAUCUCUCAUGGCACCUGGAGGCUUGUAGGUUCCUGGAGGACUCUCACACCUCCUUCCCACCCUUCUCCAGAUUCUCCAACUCCCUCUUGAGCAGACCCGGCCCCACUCUGGGGCACCCUGCCUUCCUGGGACCUGUCGUAACAGUCACCCACUCUGCCAGGGCCUGGCUGACCCAGGCUGGGGACCGUGGGACCCCUCUGGGCAGUGCCCCCCUACCUGGGCCCAGGUGGGUAUGGAUUUCUUUCUUCUGGGCCAUUGCACCCGCCAGAAGGUGCGGUGGGAGAGGCAGGCCCACAUUUCAGAGGGCCUUGCUGCCCCCAUGUGGCAUGAGGCUGUAGCGGCUGCAGCCUCCUCUUCCCUCCCUCCUGCCACUGCUCCCGAAGCCAAGGCUUUUGCAGGGUUGAAAAGGAAGAGAAAGAGGAGAAGCAGGAAUGUGAGAGAAAUGAGGCAGAGGGAUGGGCUAGGGAAGAGAGAAGCCCUUCUGCGUUACCUGGAAAUGCAGCAACAAUAAUAACAAAGCCAAUGUUAGGAAUGUUUAAAGGCAGCUGCCACAUAGCACUUUUUAUAGCUUGUAGACUCUCUCAUUUAAUCCUGGCACUUACAUCAAUCUGAUUAGUAGCUAUUAUUAGUUUUAUAGGUGAUGAUCCAAGGCGCAAUUAUUUGUUCCCCAGCUAGUAGGUGACAGAGCCCAGAUUGAAUCUGACUCCAGAACCCUAACCACGAUAUUCCCCUGUCUAGAAGGAGCCAGUUCUCUCCUGCAACCCCCACUGCUCAGCCUCUAGGAGUUCCAGCCACCAGCCACCUGCACCCUCCCUUCCAUGUGGCUUUGCCCUCUGUUCUUCUCCUCUCCACUCUCUCUCCAAGGUCCAAGUGGUCAAGGUCAUCCCAAGGGUCUGCUGGGACCGUGUGUCCUUAUUCUGUGCCUUGCUGGUCGCCAACCUUCCCCAUCUGCCAAGGACUGAUGUCCAGCCCAGGCCCAGGUGCAGGUGCCCAGGUCAUUUUUGCCACUGAGUAAAGGGAGACAGAAUGACAGGGUAAAUUACCAACCACCAGAACACCAUGGAGCCAAUAGCAUCAAUGCAAGUGAAGUAUAUUUAUCUGUUGGCCUGAAAACAUGUCCUAGUAUAUUGUCCCAUUAAGCAAAAAGCAGGUUAUAAAGCUGUGUACAUUAA
rnacentral:lncRNA from 1 species